UCACUAUUUUUAUUGCAACAUUCCUUGCAUCAAGACUCUCUUUUGAAAUGAGAUGAAAAACUUGAGAGGAUAUGGGCUAUCACACAAAUUUUAUUUUAUUUUUUUUAUGGACGGUUAUGAAUCUUUCCCCGUUUUGCCCCUUUGGCUUUUUCUCAUAAUAAUUUAUAUAUAUAUAUAUAGCAGAUUCCUAUGGUUCUCAUGAAAACAAAAGAGGGCUUUAUGAUAACAAAUGCAAGGAAUGUAAUGAAUGCACAAUUCUUAGGGUGAGAUAUUGGCACUUUUAUUUGGUGGAUAUAUGUGCGCAACCCUUAGUGUGAGAGUUGGCGCAAUUUUGGGUGGAUGGAGAAAGCAUGUUGUGCGCGACUACUCAGUGUGAGAGUCGGCUUUUAUAUGUUGGGUGCAAGUGAAUUCUGAUCUUUAGAGGCAUGAAACAUCUCUCAACAGUGGUCUAAAAAUUUGACCAAACUCAACACAGAGCAAGCAGCAUAUGUAGAAGGUUUAAUCAUGAACAAAUAUUUGGCCAUGGUAGGAAUAAAGCUUGAUCAUUCAAGAAACUUGCUAUUAAAUUUUGCUUUUUAUAAAAGAAAACGCAUGUACUUUGCAAGAACCAGCAAGCAUCAUGUCAUCCUACUAUAUCACAUACGUCAAUUACUUAGAUAAAAGGGGGUCCCUAUAACAAGUGUUCAUAAAUCUCUAGGGA
rnacentral:lncRNA from 1 species